UGAUAGUUUGUCUCUUUUAUCAAACAUUCCUGCUGUUAUAAUUUGUACAGCAUUUGUUGUUUCUUAAACUGUUGCACUGUCCAAAUACCCACACUUGCCAUCUUUGCACUUGACCACUUGAUUACUUAUUUGAAGUCUUUCCUGUAUUUGGCCUAGUGUUCGAGUGAGCAUGAUAACCACAAGUGUGUGUCGAACUUUUCAUGACCUGAUGACUGUGUUUCCCAAUCCUGAUCCUGGAGAACCCCAGCACUGCACGGUUUUGGUGUCUCUCUUAUCUGCCUUGGAGUCUUCACUGAUGAGCUGAUGAGUUGAAUCAGGUCUAAAAUAUCAAGCUCAACAACUCACUCAAGAGCCAACCCUCACAAACCUUCCUAAAAACUAAAAGAGCUAUUACUGAGUCUCAGCGAAUCUUGCCAUGAUCAGCUCUUCCCAGAAGAGAAGGAAGACCAAGGAAAUGAUUUGCUCAGGAUGAGGAAUGAAGAUGGCCAUCUUGUGCUCAAACAAACAGAAGUCCACUGAUGAUCUCAUCAGCCAAAUGAGGGGUUUUGACCAAGUGAUGCUCUUGAAAGGAGUGAAAGAAGAGGAUGUGCUAAAUUCUCUUCAGAGAAAAAGCUUCUCAAAAGGUCUUAAAACAGCUUGAAGAAUGGUCUGGGAUCUUAGGACUGAGAGAUCCUCUGGCUGAGGACAAGCUACACCACAUCAGUGCUGGAUAUCAACCACAAACUGUUUCCAGACACGAGAGAAGAAGAACACGAUGGGGAGAUGAAACCAGUUUAGAUGUGAUGAUGGGAAUCAUUAUUUUCUGGAACAGUAUCUCAUGUCUUAUAUGUAUCACAUGAUCUGUAUCACAGUUGACUGGAUGGGACUGUGUGACUUUUAAGGACAUUUCAUCACUCAUCUGUGUGAACUGAUUUAUAUAUGAGGUUAAUGUAUUUUUGAUGAUAAUUAUUUUCAUUGAAUCUUAUUCGUCUUGAUGCUACUUUAUCAACUUUAUAGUCUAUGCUUCAAUAAAAUGAAAAUGGUGAA